GGGCCGUUAACUCAGUAGGUAGAGUAUCUGCCUUUUAAGCAGAGAGUCGCGUGUUCGAAUCACGCACGGCCCA
rnacentral:tRNA from 1 species